CACAUCAGAGUGAAUAACAUCAAAGAUCUUAAUACUUUGAGUGUCAGAAAUAGGAUAAAUAGUUCGUGUGUGUUUAGCAAACUCACAUGCAUCACAAACCAAUUUAUACUUGUCACAGAUAUCAUGUAAUCUAAGAAAGAGUCUUGCUAACACAGAGAAAGAAAUAUGACCAAGCCUACGAUGUUGUAACUGGAGUUCAUGCACAGCA
rnacentral:lncRNA from 1 species